rnacentral:tRNA from 1 species
GAGGGUGUAGCUCAAGCAGCAGAGCGCGAGCUUAGCAUGCAUGAGUUCCUGGGUUCAAUCCCCAGUAUCUCCU